rnacentral:rRNA from 1 species
GACUAACGCUGACGGUAUGCCUUAUACAUGCAAGUCGAACGGAAAGGUCUCUUCGGAGAUACUCGAGUGGCGGACGGGUGAGUAACACGUAGGAAUCUGCCCCAGAGCGGGGGACAACCAAGAGAAAUCUUGGCUAAUACCCCAUAAUACUUCGGUUAAAAGACUUCGGUCACUUUGGGAGGAGCCUGCGCCUGAUUAGCUUGAUGGUGGAGUAAAAGCCUACCAUAGCUUCGAUCAGUAGCUGGUUUGAGAGGAUGACCAGCCACAAUGGGACUGAGAUACGGCCCAUACUCCUACGGGAGGCAGCAGUAGGGAAUUUUGCGCAAUGGGCGAAAGCCUGACGCAGCAAUACCGUGUGCGGGAAGACGCUCCGUGGAGUGUAAACCGCUGUCAGGUGGGACGAACAAAUGACUGUACCACCAGAGGAAGCACCGGCUAACUCCG